UACGUAGGGUGCGAGCGUUGUCCGGAAUUACUGGGCGUAAAGAGCUCGUAGGCGGCUUGUCACGCGAUUGUGAAAGCCCGAGGCUUAACCUCGGGUCUGCAGUCGAUACGGGCUAGCUAGAGUGUGGUAGGGGGAGAUCGGAAUUCCUGGUGUAGCGGUGAAAUGCGCAGAUAUCAGGAGGAACACCGGUGGCGAAGGCGGAUCUCUGGGCCAUUACUGACGCUGAGGAGCGAAAGCGUGGGGAGCGAACAGG
rnacentral:rRNA from 1 species